CAAAAUUUGUGACCAUGUCUGUGAUGACUAAAUCUGUUACUGAAGGUUGUGACAGAUCAGUGACCAAACUUGUGACCGAAUUCUGUGACAAAAUCAGUGACCAAGUUACCUUCGUUACUAACUCAAUGACUGGUUAGUGACGGGAAAUACAAAAUUUUUUAAAUAUUUAAUUCUUAGAUUUGUAACGGCUUAGUGACGGUGGUUCUGUCACGGAGUUUAGUGACGGAAAUUGCCGCCGUCACUGAGAAUUUAGUGACGCGUGUUUUUGUAACCAAUUCAGUGACGGAAGCUCCGGUCACAAAUUUUGUAUUAGUAACCGGAAACACGGUAUAGUGACGGGAAUCUCC
rnacentral:lncRNA from 1 species